rnacentral:rRNA from 1 species
UACAGAGGGUGCGAGCGUUAAUCGGAAUUACUGGGCGUAAAGCGCGCGUAGGCGGCUUUGCAAGUCGGGUGUGAAAUCCCCAGGCUUAACCUGGGAACUGCAUUCGAGACUGCAUUGCUAGAGUAUGGGAGAGGGAAGUGGAAUUUCCGGUGUAGCGGUGAAAUGCGUAGAUAUCGGAAGGAACAUCAGUGGCGAAAGCGACUUCCUGGACCAAUACUGACGCUGAGGAGCGAAAGCGUGGGGAGCGAACAGG